CCUACGGGAGGCUGCAGUGGGGAAUAUUGCACAAUGGGGGAAACCCUGAUGCAGCGACGCCGCGUGAGUGAAGAAGUAUUUCGGUAUGUAAAGCUCUAUCAGCAGGGAAGAAAAUGACGGUACCUGAUUAAGAAGCCCCGGCUAACUACGUGCCAGCAGCCGCGGUAAUACGUAGGGGGCAAGCGUUAUCCGGAUUUACUGGGUGUAAAGGGAGCGUAGACGGCAGCACAAGUCUGGAGUGAAAUGCCGGGGCUUAACCCCGGGACUGCUUUGGAAACUGUGCAGCUGGAGUGCAGGAGAGGUAAGUGGAAUUCCUAGUGUAGCGGUGAAAUGCGUAGAUAUCAGGAGGAACACCAGUGGCGAAGGCGGCUUACUGGACUGUAACUGACGUUGAGGCUCGAAAGCGUGAGGAGCAAACAGGAUUAGACACCCCGGUAGUC
rnacentral:rRNA from 1 species